rnacentral:rRNA from 1 species
AGUGAACGCUGGCGGUAGGCCUAACACAUGCAAGUCGAACGGCAGCACAGUAAGAGCUUGCUCUUACGGGUGGCGAGUGGCGGACGGGUGAGGAAUACAUCGGAAUCUACUUUUUCGUGGGGGAUAACGUAGGGAAACUUACGCUAAUACCGCAUACGACCUACGGGUGAAAGCAGGGGAUCUUCGGACCUUGCGCGAUUGAAUGAGCCGAUGUCGGAUUAGCUAGGUGGCGGGGUAAAGGCCCACCAAGGCGACGAUCCGUAGCUGGUCUGAGAGGAUGAUCAGCCACACUGGAACUGAGACACGGUCCAGACUCCUACGGGAGGCAGCAGUGGGGAAUAUUGGACAAUGGGCGCAAGCCUGAUCCAGCCAUACCGCGUGGGUGAAGAAGGCCUUCGGGUUGUAAAGCCCUUUUGUUGGGAAAGAAAAGCAGCAGGUUAAUACCCCGCUGUUCUGACGGUACCCAAAGAAUAAGCACCGGCUAACUUCGUG